GACUACCGGAGUAUCUAAUCCUGUUUGAUACCCGCACUUUCGAGCCUCAGCGUCAGUUGCACCCCGGACACUUGCCUUCGCGAUCGGAGUUCUUCAUGAUAUCUAAGCAUUUCACCGCUACACCAUGAAUUCCGGCAUCCCUGUGUGCACUCAAGGCCUCCAGUUUCAACUGCAAUUCCACGGUUGAGCCGCGGACUUUCACAGCUGACUUAAAAGCCGGCCUACGCUCCCUUUAAACCCAAUAAAUCCGGAUAACGCCCGGACCUUCCGUAUUACCGCGGCUGCUGGCACGGAAUUAGCCGGUCCUUUUUCUGAUGGUACAUACAAUACGGGGCUCACGAGCCCCCUUUUAUUCCCAACUAAAAGAAGUUUACAAUGCUUGGCACCUUCGUCCUUCACGCGGCUUGGCUGGUUCAGCCUUCCGGCCAUUGACCAAUAUUCCUCACUGCUGCCACCCGUAGG
rnacentral:rRNA from 1 species